rnacentral:rRNA from 1 species
GAUGAACGCUGGCGGCGUGCCUAACACAUGCAAGUCGAGCGGCAGCGAGGGGUGCUUGCACCCUGUCGGCGAGCGGCGGACGGCUGAGUAACGCGUGGGAACGUGCCCCAAAGUGAGGAAUAACUGCCCGAAAGGGUAGCUAAUACCGCAUAUUAUCUUCGGAUCAAAGGAUUUAUCCGCUUUGGGAGCGGCUCGCGUCGGAUUAGGUAGUUGGUGAGUUAAUGGCUCACCAAGCCGACGAUCCGUAGCUGGUCUGAGAGGAUGACCAGCCAGACUGGAACUGAGACACGGUCCAGACUCCUACGGGAGGCAGCAGUGAGGAAUCUUCCACAAUGGGCGAAAGCCUGAUGGAGCAACGCCGCGUGCAGGACGAAGGCCUUCGGGUUGUAAACUGCUUUUAUAAGUGAGGAAUAUGACGGUAACUUAUGAAUAAGGAUCGGCUAACUACGUG